CUGAAUGUGUCGUCGACCGGCGAAUGGGUGAGUAACGCGUAUCCAACUGCCCUUCAGUAGGGAAUAGCCUUGCGAAAGUAAGAUUAAUGCCCUAUGUAUUUUUCCGAUCCCAUGAGAAGAGAAAUAAAGAUUUAUCGCUGAAGGAUGGGGAUGCGUCUGAUUAGGCAGUUGGCGGGGUAACGGCCCACCAAACCGACGAUCAGUAGGGGUUCUGAGAGGAAGGUCCCCCACAUUGGAACUGAGACACGGUCCAAACUCCUACGGGAGGCAGCAGUGAGGAAUAUUGGUCAAUGGGCGAGAGCCUGAACCAGCCAAGUAGCGUGCAGGAAGACGGCCCUAUGGGUUGUAAACUGCUUUUGUGCGGGGAUAAAGUGAGUCACGCGUGACUUAUUGCAGGUACCGCACGAAUAAGGACCGGCUAAUUCCGUGCCAGCAGCCGCGGUAAUACGGAAGGUCCGGGCGUUAUCCGGAUUUAUUGGGUUUAAAGGGAGCGUAGGCCGGAGAUUAAGUGUGUUGUGAAAUGCGGGGGCUCAACCUCUGGAUUGCAGCGCAUACUGGUUUUCUUGAGUACGCGCAACGUUGGCGGAAUUUGUCGUGUAGCGGUGAAAUGCUUAGAUAUGACGAAGAACUCCGAUUGCGAAGGCAGCUGACGGGAGCGCAACUGACGCUGAGGCACGAAAGCGUGGGGAUAGAACAGGAUUAGAUACCCUGGUAUUCC
rnacentral:rRNA from 1 species